UGUAAGUAAAUUUCCUUAUGUGGUUGGUGUUUUAUCGGAGGAAAAACUAGAACUUAUUAUACACGCAUUCACAUAGCGAUAAUAAUUCUAUAGUUAUAGUAUAACAGUAAAAUAUUUUAUUCGCACAGUAUAAGUUAUCAUCUAAUACAUAUGCGCGUGAUUCUUCAUUAUCAGGUUUCCCGGUGACACCGUUCGUCGGAAAAAGUGGAUAGAGGCAAUUUGGCCAUCCUCCAGAGUUGAUCGAGAGCCUAAGAAGCAAGCCCGCAUUUGUUCAACUCACUUUCGGGAUGAACAUAUAGAUCGCACGUCGCCAAGUAGAGUCCGUCUGCGGGGACAUGCAGUGCCGACGCUCUUGCUGCCUCAUCCAGUUUACCAAGGUGACAGUGCAUCUGAUGCAACAAGCCAUGUUGCACACUCGCACUCUGCAUCCUCUCAACUCACGCAAGGAUGUGAUGAAGGCUUGAUGGUGCUUGCACAGGUUGCCACAAGUUUUGAUGAACGCUCAGCUCAGGCCAGCCUACCUACCCCUGGUUUGUCUGGCUUAGGUGCUGGUCUCUACAGUCAGACUACGUUUGAACAGGUGCACAUUAUUUCCUUCUGUGUUGCACUUUUCCUACACCUUUGUAGUACUUCAAGUAGGCAGUUUAGGCCAUACAGCUGAUUACAAUAAGCACUCUUGUUUUCAGGCUGCCAUGGAUUUGGAAUAUGAAACUGCAGUCCAGACCAACCUGUCUGAGCCCGGUCCAUCUGGCCUAAGUACCAGUGUUCCUAUUGAGCCACAACUUGCGCAGGCUGCAAUGGAUACUGGAGACAACAGUCAAGUACAGGAGAGCCUCUAUGUCACCGACCCAUCAAGCCUAGCUGCU